rnacentral:rRNA from 1 species
CAGCCGCCGCGGGAAUACGUAGGUGGCGAGCGUUGUCCGGAAUUAUUGGGCGUAAAGCGCGCGCAGGCGGAUCAGUCAGUCUGUCUUAAAAGUUCGGGGCUUAACCCCGUGAUGGGAUGGAAACUGCUGAUCUAGAGUAUCGGAGAGGAAAGUGGAAUUCCUAGUGUAGCGGUGAAAUGCGUAGAUAUUAGGAAGAACACCAGUGGCGAAGGCGACUUUCUGGACGAAAACUGACGCUGAGGCGCGAAAGCCAGGGGAGCGAACGGGAUUAGAUACCCCCGUAGUCCCUGUCUCUUAUACA